rnacentral:rRNA from 1 species
UACGGAGGGGGCUAGCGUUGUUCGGAAUUACUGGGCGUAAAGCGCGUGUAGGCUGCUUCGCAAGUCGGAUGUGAAAGCCCUGGGCUCAACCCAGGAAGUGCAUUCGAAACUGCAGAGCUGGAGUCCUGGAGAGGAAGGCGGAAUUCUCGGUGUAGAGGUGAAAUUCGUAGAUAUCGAGAGGAACACCGGUGGCGAAGGCGGCCUUCUGGACAGUGACUGACGCUGAGACGCGAAAGCGUGGGGAGCAAACAGG